GAAACCCAUUUGAAGAUGAGUGCCCGGCCUCUUUUCAUCACAGCCAAGCCCACUUCCUGGUGGAUGAGGCGGCUCCUCCGUGUUGUCGUAGUGAGCAGAGGGGGCAGCUGAGGGGAAGCCGGAGGCGGCGGUCGGCGGUCUAAAGUCGCGGUACGGCGGCUAGCUAGCGCGCUGCUGUCUGUGUGUUUUGCCCCCUCGACGGAAAAAAAAAAAAAAAAAAAAAAAUGGGAAGCACAGUGAUGGAGUCCGGCAAGCAGAGCUCAAAGAAAAUGCCAAAGAAGAGGAGAAGUCUGCGGAUUAACAUGCCAGAUUUUGGUGCAUUUACUUCCCCACAAGUGGAUACAAGUGGCUCAACCAAAAGUGGCGCUCAGACGGGAGAGCGUCUCAUCCGUUCAGCCAGCCCAAUCACAGGAGUGACUGCAAGGAGCCCUGCCGACGCCCCGCUGCCCCCAUGUCCCCAGUCUGCUCCAGUACCAUCGAAGACAAGCUCAGGUUCACCCAAAACUAUCUUCCCCUAUCCCUCACACCAGAAUUCCCCACCCAAGUCCCCCCGCCGCCUAAGCUUCAGUGGUAUCUUCCGCUCAUCAUCCAACUCUACACCAGCAAGCAUCAAAAUCUUCUCCAGAACUAGGAGAGCUUCUGGACUCUCCACACCACCCACCACCCCAACCCAGGUGUCCAGCCAACCUGUGUUAACCCAGGAGGCCCAGCCGAGCGGGCCCAGUCCGGAACACUUGGAGCCCAGAUCCCGCUCCCUUUCCACACCUCCAGAUACAGGACAGCAUCUCAGCCUCCCCUCUACUAAACCCCCAAUCCCUUCCUCAAACCCCGUGCCAUCUUACUCUACCUCACAACAAGUCUACGGUUUAUUCGAAGGCAUGCUGGAGAAACUUGAACUAGAUGAUGAUGCUGCUGAACCUGAGAGUGACAUUUACAUGCGCUUUAUGAAAUCCCACAAGUGCUACGACAUCGUCCCUACAAGCUCCAAGCUGGUUGUGUUCGACACAGCACUCCAAGUUAAGAAAGCAUUCUUCGCCUUGGUUGCAAACGGUGUGCGAGCUGCCCCGCUGUGGGACACAGAGAAGCAAAGCUUUGUGGGAAUGCUGACAAUCACAGACUUCAUCAUCAUAUUACACAGAUACUAUAAGUCGCCAAUGGUGCAAAUUUAUGAAUUAGAGGAACAUAAGCUUGAGACAUGGAGAGAGGUUUACCUUCAAGCAACAUUCAAACCUCUGGUCAACAUAUCACCUGAUGCAAGCCUAUUUGAUGCAGUGUACACCCUCAUCAAAAACAAAAUUCACCGACUGCCUGUCAUCGACCCCGUCACAGGGAAUGCACUUUAUAUUCUCACACACAAGAGGAUCCUCAAGUUCCUCCAGCUCUUUAUGUGUGAAAUGCCAAAGCCAGCUUUCAUGAAGCAGACGCUCGGGGAGCUGGGCAUUGGUACGUACCACGACAUUGCUUUCAUCCACCCGGACACGCCCAUCAUCAAAGCACUCAACAUCUUUGUGGAGAGACGAGUGUCUGCUUUGCCUGUGGUGGAUGACUCAGGCAAAGUUGUGGAUAUUUACUCCAAGUUUGAUGUAAUUAACUUGGCUGCUGAGAAGGCGUACAACAACCUGGACAUUACAGUGACACAGGCUCUGAAACAUCGCUCUCAGUACUUUGAAGGAGUCGUGAAGUGCCAUAAAAUGGAAACAAUGGAGACCAUUGUCGACAGAAUAGUCAAGGCUGAAGUGCAUCGGUUGGUGGUGGUGGACGAGCGCUCAAGCAUCGAGGGCAUCAUCUCCCUGUCGGACAUCCUCCAGGCCCUGGUGCUCAGCCCUGCAGGUAUAGAUGCCCAGCAUUGCUAGCCCCAACUCCCCUUCUGUCCUGGACCCUGAGCUCUCUCCCCCCACCUGCCCUCUAACUCUGCCCCAGAUGCCUGUAAGGAGGAGAACCUGACUGGGUGAGAGGGAAGAAGCGUCAGCAGAAGUGGAGACGUGUUGGGAGUAAAUAAGUCUGAAGGUUGAGGUAGGGAGUUUGAGGCUGAGCGGAGCCAGUCUGAAGGUCCCCGAGACGCCUGCAACUGAUGCACUAUAGAGGCUUGGAAACCAAAGAGCUAGACAGCUGAGUGAAGUAGAGUCCCUGCACUGAGGAUUGAUUUUUCUGAUUUUUUUUUUUUUUUGUUUGUUUGUUUGUUCGUUUGUUUUAACACUGAUCAGAUGCACACACAUACAUUAUACUGUAUAUAUACACAAACACACAGACACACACACACACACACACACAGAUUCAUUAUGGUAACCUGCCGGGGGAAAGGUGGGGACGUUGAGACAGGUUCUCAUAAUUUCGAGCUUCAGUGUUUUGGGUUGUGUACUUACGAUCCUGCUGCUGUCAUCAGUUGAUUUUAGUCACAUUUUGUAGUUGAUGCUGAAUGUCGUUGCCUCUAGGAAAACUAUCUUUUCCUCAGUAUUUGCUUUAGAACAGUGAUUCACAGAUGCAACUUAAUUUUUGGUAGCAAAACUGCACUUCACCUACAAUGUGGCCAUUUUAUGACUGGUGUAAUUAAAAAAAAAUGGUUUGCCAGUGCCAAUAUGGAGCACUCAAUUCCCAUUCUUUAUUUGUGCCUUUUUUUUUUUUUUUUUUCGCUUUGCCUACACCAGUUUAUAACACACAGCAUUUGUGUCCUUUGAAUUAGUCUUUUGGUAUGGAUGUGUAAUAUUAAAGUAGUCGUACCUUCUACUUCUUUUCACAAAAGAUUAACCUGUAUUUGGUUCCAUUUUCUGUGGCUAAAAUUCAAAACCAUGUCAGAAGUGUUAAGAAUUUCUGUCAAAUAGAACUAACUCUGAAAAUGACACAAACCUGCAGCGGUCAGAGGCAAAUAUAACUGUACAUUAAUAAGGACUCUAUCAGCCAAUAACUGUGAGUGAGUACAUCACAUUCAUUCAUCAUCUGUAGUGAUUACGAGUCUUUGGGACUUAGAUGCAUAUUUGUUAUGGUAUGACAGGACCGAAAAAGUCUUUUUUAGAUGUUUAAAUUUUUUUUUUUUUUUUUUUUUUUUUUUUACAUUUAUUCUCAGUGGUUUUGUUGCCUCAGAUAAUCUGAUACCCACAAACAUGCAAACCAACUCAGUUAUCUCAGCUGUAGCUUGACAGGACUCAUCUCCAUCUUCGACUGUAAAUAGGAUCGAUUUUCGGGAAACGUGUCACUGAAAGCUUUAUUUUUAUGAAUGUGUCAACAUGUUUAAAGAGACUGCAGUUUUAAUGUUAUUUUUGUAAAUAUAUUGUGGCAAUAUGUCCAGUUCAAAGAAACUUUGUAUCAGAUCAACAUGUACUGUAAAUGUGCAAGCAUGAGAAACUACACUUCAGCAGUAUGAAUGUUCUUUGUUUUACUUUUUCUAUUUUUCUGGCUGCAGAAAAAUAAAUGGACACUGAAUGUACUUUAAA